UACGUAGGGUGCGAGCGUUGUCCGGAAUUAUUGGGCGUAAAGAGCUCGUAGGCGGUCUGUCGCGUCGAAUGUGAAAACCCGGGGCUCAACUCCGGGCUUGCAUUCGAUACGGGCAGGCUAGAGUUCGGUAGGGGAGUCUGGAAUUCCUGGUGUAGCGGUGGAAUGCGCAGAUAUCAGGAGGAACACCGGUGGCGAAGGCGGGUCUCUGGGCCGUAACUGACGCUGAGGAGCGAAAGCGUGGGGAGCGAACAGG
rnacentral:rRNA from 1 species